CCAUACUACUGUUGUCAACAGGAGAGCUAGAUUCCAAUUAUCUGAUUCAAGUGUUUCCAGUGAACUGUCAUACACAGAAGCUAACAGCAGAAUAACCUAGUUUUGUUCAUGAACCAGUGAACAAUAAAAAUAUGGAUGUAUUGCUUUGCUCAACCUUUCCUGCAAGGUGCCACCAGGACCCUCAAAACAAGUUGAAUCAGCCAACAGGCCAAGUCUCCAAUGGCAACUUUUUAAUCAGCCAGUAUAGACAUGGGUCUAACAAGUGGUUGGCUACAUUCUUUUAAGCAAGGUAUGCACAUUUUCACAUCCAACAAACUGAAACUCAUCCAUCAAUACUGGUUAUAUGGUUGCCUCAAGCAAUUCGUCAGAAACUAUCCUUGGUGUGGAUUCCAAGCUGAAGUUAGUCUGAGUCAUUUUGUCAGCAAACUGUUUUGAAAAUUUACCACCCUGAGUUUUUGAAGGUUUCUGUUCAAAAUUCUCUGGAGUCUAGAAGCUUCACUCUGGUGAUCAAUCCAACUGCUUCACCGCUCCAAUCUUUGCAGAAAACCAAGGAGUCCAUGCUUUGCAUUCACACAGAGGGCCUUGGGUGUCAACCACACAGGUCAUUUCCCCUCUCAACAGUUCAGCUGGAGCUUCAACAGAAUAACCAGACAUAGCAGCCGAAAAAUCUUCCAGGGCAUCCCGGAAUCCUUCUGGGUCCAUCAGUCUCCGAAGGACUUUGUGAAGUCACUUGCUAAUGCUGUUUUACAGAUGAAGAAUAUAAGAAUCCUGAUGCGGUGACAGUCCUUCAAAGAGAGGAUCCUUGCCUGUAAGACAAGACUCCGGGCCACUUUACAUCAUCAACCUUUGCUUUUGUCAUAACAGACCUGAACACACAUACACACUAGUCAGGCUGUUGUUCUUCAGAGCAGUUAAGAAGAAAAGUGAAAGGAAGCUUUCAGAAUGAAAUGCUGUGUUGACCAGCUAAUCUUCUGUGUGAGUAUUAGAAGUAACAAGGUCCCUGUGCAUUCAAUGCACUGCAAGUAAGAUAAGACUGCUGAAAUUGCGCAGCACAAGUAUAACAUCCAAAUGAUGACACCUGGAGCUAUACUUAGCCAUUCUGGUAUCCAAGGCUUUGCCACCCUAUUGGUUAAGCUUAGGUCACUUGAGACUGCUAUAUGUAGGGAAAAGACAGAGACAGAGGAAUGGGGAGUAAUGCCAAGGUCUGAACACUUGGUGGCCAUAUUGGUUCCACACUAAGCCUGGCUGUUUUAUAAUUUUUUCCACCUCUAGAUGAGUGGCUAGAAAAAUUAUACAUCAUUGACAGGGGUACUUAUACUUGAAAAGCAAUAUGUAGGUUCACGUCCCUGCAGCAGAAAUUCCUGUAGUGUUUGAAUAUUGGUGGUGCCCUAGAUCAAAGCUUCAGUCAUCUCACCCUAGUUACACCUUGAGGACACCCAAGUUGAUUCCUCCUACUCGGUUUAAAUUCAAGGGAGUUGUUCUGAUUUUAAAUCAUUGUUUAAUGCUGGUAAUGAAGUGGAUGAGAGUGAAAAAAAAUUGAAGCCUAAUUCAGACAAGGCAAAAAUGCUCCUGGUCAGCCAAAAGGCAGAUCAGGAAAUACUGACUCAGCCUAUGCUGGAUGGGGUCAUACAGCUCAUGAAGGUUCAGGCUUGCUAAUUUGGCUGUACUGUUGGAUUCAACAGUACACGAGGUUUUGCCAAGCAUUCUAAUGCACAGCUGAGGAUAAGCUCACACUGUGCGCUCAUUCAUAAAGAUGUUGGAUAUAGCCCUAGUGACAUACAACUACAGUGACAUGUGGCUUCAUUACAUCCCUUUAGGAAUGCUGUAAUAUGCCAUGCAAGGGUUGCCUCUGAAAAAUGUUUGGACAUUUCACAUGAUUCAUGUAUCUUCAGUCAAACAGUGGACUGAGGUGAAUUAGACAAAGUAUGUCACCCUUUUGGUACAACAGCAUAAUUAAAAAUACUAAUGAUGAUCUACUCUACAAAGCUCAAUAAAACUAGC